UCGGGAAGUAGCUCAGCUUGGUAGAGCACUACGUUCGGGACGUAGGGGUCGCAGGUUCAAAUCCUGUCUUCCCGAUCC
rnacentral:tRNA from 1 species